rnacentral:rRNA from 1 species
UACGUAGGGGGCGAGCGUUGUCCGGAUUUAUUGGGCGUAAAGAGCGUGUAGGCGGUUCGGUAAGUCUGUCGUGAAAUCCUGAGGCUCAACCUCGGGCGUGCGAUGGAUACUGCCGGGCUAGAGGGUGGUAGAGGCGAGUGGAAUUCCCGGUGUAGCGGUGAAAUGCGCAGAUAUCGGGAGGAACACCAGUAGCGAAGGCGGCUCGCUGGGCCACACCUGACGCUGAGACGCGAAAGCUAGGGGAGCGAACGAG